CCACUGUGGAGGGAGACUGUGUCUUGCCCCUCAUUCCAGGGCCACUGUGAACAAACAGUGGGUGAGAUUCCGGGCUCGGAAUGAUACUGGUGUGUACAGAAGCAGACAGGUGCAGGGAAGGGGAGUCUCUUUUUGUGAACAGCCCAAGUCACAGUGCUGCCACAAUUGAGAGCAGCCAGGUGAGCAAGGCAACAAGGGAGGAGAGAGUCCAACAGCUGCUAACUGGAGAGUCACACCGGCCAAUCUCCCAAAACCC